UUAAUGGAGUUUUUAAACUCCACAAAUAUGGUCAGGGAAUUGACA
rfam:Gossypium raimondii chromosome 6, whole genome shotgun sequence.